CGCGGGAUAGAGCAGUUGGCAGCUCGUCGGGCUCAUAACCCGAAGGUCGUUGGUUCGAAUCCAGCUCCCGCCACCA
rnacentral:tRNA from 1 species